AAGUCGUAACAAGGUUUCCGUAGGCUGCGGAAGGAUCAUUAACACGUAUCCCAACCCUGUGAACUUUCAGCGCUCUUGUAGCCAGCAAUCCUGGUAAAUCAAUGGCGGAAAAGUUUUGAUUCGGGACCUCUGUCCAAAAGGUAAUCGAGCUAGGAGCAGUGGCAUGGUUCCCCUAAGCAGUGCAGAAGGAUCCACUAAGACGGUUGCCAGAGGUCGAUCACCGGCCGGCAGACAUGUCACAGGGCUUUACGCCCCUUCAUUCACCCCUUGCCUAAUCAAAGCCCGCGGAAACGCCGGGCGAAAAAAUCUGAACAACUGUUAACAAUGGAUAUCUUGGUUCUC
rnacentral:misc_RNA from 1 species